AUUGAACGCUGGCGGCAGGCCUAACACAUGCAAGUCGAACGAGUCGCGGACGGGUUAGUAAUGUCCGGGACACUUCCUGAUGGAUGGGUAUCACUACUGGAAACUGUUGCUACUACCGCAUUCCAUCAGCUGUGCCCAGAUGGGAUUAGCUUGUUGGUGGGGUAACGGCUCACCAAGGCGCCGAUCCUUAGCUGGUCUGAGAGGAUGACCAGCCACACUGGGACUGAGACACGGUCCAGACUCCUACGGGAGGCAGCAGUGGGGAAUAUUGCACAAUGGGCGAAAGCCUGAUGCAGCCAUGCCGCGUGUGAGAAGAAGGCCUUCGGGUUGUAAAGGACUUUCGGCAGGGAAGCGGUACCAGCAGAAGAAGCACCGGCUAACUCCGUGCCAGCAGCCGCGGUAAUUC
rnacentral:rRNA from 1 species